rnacentral:rRNA from 1 species
AGCGCAGACGGUUGAUUAAGUCUGAUGUGAAAGCCCGGAGCUCAACUCCGGAAUGGCAUUGGAAACUGGUUAACUUGAGUGCAGUAGAGGUAAGUGGAACUCCAUGUGUAGCGGUGGAAUGCGUAGAUAUAUGGAAGAACACCAGUGGCGAAGGCGGCUUACUGAACUGUAACUGACGUUGAGGCUCGAAAGUGUGGGUAGCAAACA